GACGAACGCUGGCGGCGUGCUUAACACAUGCAAGUCGAACGAUGAUCAGGAGCUUGCUCCUGUGAUUAGUGGCGAACGGGUGAGUAACACGUGAGUAACCUGCCCCUGACUCUGGGAUAAGCGUUGGAAACGACGUCUAAUACUGGAUACGACUGCCGGCCGCAUGGUCUGGUGGUGGAAAGAUUUUUUGGUCGGGGAUGGACUCGCGGCCUAUCAGCUUGUUGGUGAGGUAAUGGCUCACCAAGGCGACGACGGGUAGCCGGCCUGAGAGGGUGACCGGCCACACUGGGACUGAGACACGGCCCAGACUCCUACGGGAGGCAGCAGUGGGGAAUAUUGCACAAUGGGCGAGAGCCUGAUGCAGCAACGCCGCGUGAGGGAUGACGGCCUUCGGGUUGUAAACCUCUUUUAGUAGGGAAGAAGCGAAAGUGACGGUACCUGCAGAAAAAGCACCGGCUAACUACGUGCCAGCCGCCGCGGUAAAAC
rnacentral:rRNA from 1 species